CUGCAAAGUAAUAUAUCUGGAGGUCAGGAGGUGCGUCGUUCACACUAGAUCGUACCGAGAGUUCUACAAUUAGGUAUAAUUACAACUAGGAAGCUACCCUUCCUUGAUAACUAUUUUAGUAUCUGUUUUUAUUUAUACUAAUAUAAAGGCAGGUUACAAUUGUGUGCAGGUAGAAAAUUUAUCAUAUUAGUGCCCAUCUGAAGAAUCACAUCAUGAUAGGAACAAGGACUAUGGAUGGCAUGUUGAUAGGAAUCUGAGAUGAUAUAAAAUAGUACUCAUCCAACUGCUAACUGAAUAUUCUGGAAAUUAGCUCAUAGUGACACAUAUAUUAUUACUAGAGCAGUACUGUCCUAGACUUGCAUAUUCAGAAUUAAUGCAUCUCAUGCAGUAGUGCCAUUUUGUCGACACACCAUAUGAUAUAUGAAUAAAACCAUAAAAGUGUAUAUGAAACUGUAUAAUCUGGCACUUGGUUUCAUGCCUCCAGCAAUGUGAUGUCCUUUUUAUGUUAUCAUGGCAUACACAGAUAAUUAAAUGAUGAUUCUUUUAUAAUGUCUCCAUCUCUUGAGCUAAGCACAUGUUGUUAACAUCACAGAACGACAUGGAGCUGCAGACAUGCACUUGGAGCACAUGUUGACUUGCAGCUGUGUCUGCAAUCUCCCAAACAAAUGAGUAGCACCGUGUAGUUGUAGGCUUGCAAUAGGUUGGCGGGUAAAUGGUCAUAGAGAGAAUACAACAGGCAUGUUGACUGCUCACUGCUGCGAGUAUUCCAUUCAAGUCGACAACUACAUUUGCAAGAGGUGUGUUGUUUACUUGGAGAAAUUUUUCAGAAAAUCAUCAGUUUAUUUAGCAUUAGUUAAACCAGUUUGUCGAGCUGAGCUUUUGAUCUUGGUGGUAGUGAGAAUUCUGAUGGUAGAAGAAUUCUGCUAUUGAGAUGGUUCUUCUAUUUUUUUUUCUGUACUCCUACUAUUCUAAUGCAACAUUACUUUUUAGUCCUAAAGUACUAGCUUACAUCCUUCUACCUUUUUCCCUUGAAAAGCCAGGUAGAAGUUUUGUUUAAACACUUACAUAUAGAAGACUAAGAAUUUCUUUUUGUUCUUCUUGCUGUUGGCUGGUAGCUUUUAGUAGCAAUUUGGAUAAUUCUGUGCAUAAUAUUAUGUAAGGUCAGGGAUUCUGCUGUGGGUGGAUCAUGGCCCCCAGAACAAUGCACACUAUACAGUAGCCUGAGCAAGUUGUGGGUCAUGCCUUCAUAUGGUUGUUAAAUUGCUGCUCUUUUUCUAUAUGGAUUAAUGCGAAGCACCUCAAAUUUCUCUUUGAACAAUAUAUGUCUCUUUUUAUUUGAUUUGAGUUCCUCGCAAUAGUUGUUUUUGAUGAUAUUGUAGUUUUAUGCCACCGUAUGAUCGAUGAAUUCGAGGUUUGAGGCCCGUCCGGGGGCUGGACCAGAAGCUUCAGACGAUGGAGUUGAGUGACCCACUCAUCGAUCCCAGAUGUGCUCAAGUGAAGCCAGGGAUCUGAUCCAUCCAUCUCAGAGCGGAUGAAUCAACAGAGGAUCCAUCCUGUCAAACAAGUGAAUUUAGGCUUGAUUAAUUAGGAGGAGCAUACAAGUGUCUUGUGCACAUGUAGUUUAGGUGUGUACAGGUUCAGGUAGUCAAUUGUUAAGCAUGGUAGGAUUCGCAAGCUGGUCAGUAGGUGGCGUCAUGGUAUGAUCUAGCAAGACGGCGGAGGAGGUGGCCGGUGGUGACUGGGGAGGAUACUAAGGGAGAUGGAGAGGUUGAGGGAAAUUUAUGGGUCUGAACUGGAGCAAAGGGAGAUAUAGGAUGGGUGAGAAAGAUGGAGAUGUUGAUAGAUAACACAUGUAGGAAAGAGAUGUUGAUAGUUUACUUUUCUUCAUCUCCAACGCAACUAUCAACUGAUGUGUUGACUGUAUCAUCACAGUUCUCAUGUAAGCAAAGGACCUUGCUUCUUCCGAAAUUAGAUUUUGAAAUAUUUCACUUCUAUUGUUUCUUCAGGCAUACUGCAUUUGAUCAUGGUUCUCAUGUGAUCGGCUACCUGCAGAUCUACAUAAUAGGGCGAUGAUGUGCAAUAUAGGAGACUUGACCAUUCAAUGAUUUUUUUGCGUUUGGUUUUGCUGCAUCGUUCUGAGGGUGCUUUCAGGUACCACCAGCAGUGCUUACACUUUAGUUAGUUCAAUGUGUUCAUUACCUCAUACCACCAGCAGUGCCAGUUUUGCUUACUUCCAUUAAUAGCCAUGUAGGGAUUAAUCCUGCCCUGUUAUAUCCUGUCCAGUUACAUAUUUAUGCCUUCUCUUUGGAGUAAGAUUAAUUAGUUAUUGUAUUAUGAGACUAGAGACAUGUUAUUGGUAAUUUGAGCAUUUGAUUAGUAUGUGGAAUGCAUAUUUGUUUUAAUUAAAUAUACGUCAAUUUUUAUACCCGUUGCAACGCACGGGCAUUUGUG
rnacentral:lncRNA from 1 species